UGGAAUCGAUGUAAUUUCUAUUUUUUACAUUGAUUAUCCUUAGUAAUCAAUUUAAAAUAGUGUUUUGUUUUUUUUUAAUUGACUAACCUAUUUCAAUUACGUGCAAAAACAAUGUAAUAGGUAGGUGUCUUUUUCUAUCAAGGUAUCCUAUUUUCAUUUACACGCUUCUUUCUUUCUUCCAUUUUCAUUUUCGCCGCUC
rnacentral:lncRNA from 1 species